GGUAGCGUAAUCACUUGUCUUCUAAAUAAAGACUAGUAUGAAAGGCAUCACGAGAACUAAGCUGUCUCCUUUUUCCCAUCAAUGAACCUAAUCUCCCCGUGAAGAAGCGGGGAUAAAAAUAUAAGACGAGAAGACCCUGUGGAGCUUAAAACAUUUAAACACUUGCCCCCCCCCCCC
rnacentral:rRNA from 1 species